rnacentral:rRNA from 1 species
CGAGCACGCGCGUGUGGCAUAUCAAUAAGCGGAGGAAAAGAAACUAACAAGGAUUCCCUUAGUAACGGCGAGUGAAGCGGGAAGAGCUCAAAUUUGAAAUCUUCAAGGUUCUACCUUGACGAAUUGUAGUCUAUAGAAGUGUUUUCUGUUAGUGGAGUGGCAAAAGUUCUUUGGAAUAGGACAUCAUAGAGGGUGAGAAUCCCGUAUUUGGUCAUUCCUCCUAGCGUUGUGAUACACUUUCAAAGAGUCGGAUUGUUUGGGAAUGCAGUCCAAAAUGGGUGGUAAAUUUCAUCUAAAGCUAAAUAUUGGCGAGAGACCGAUAGCGAACAAGUACCGUGAGGGAAGAUGAAAAGAACUUUGAAAAGAGAGUUAAACAGUACGUGAAAUUGUCAAAAGGGAGGCGUUUGACACCAGUGUUGUUUUUCCGAAAAUCAGUUAAGAAUGUUUUGUUUUUAGAGAGUUAUGACUUCAUCGGCUUGCUCCUUUCUUUAUGAAACUUUCUUAAUGCACUUUUCGGUUAACAAGUCAACAUCAAUUUCUUUUGUUGUAAAAGGGUAUGAGGAAGGUGGCUUUCUUUUCGGAGAAAGUGUUUAUAGCCUUUGGCUUCUGCAAUCGGAGAGAUUGAGGUCUGCAGCGUAGAUCCUUCGGGGUUAGAUACAUUUGUGCUAAGUUAUAGCCUUUCAUAGACAACUUGUUGACUAUGAUCAGUCAUGUAGCUUACUCGCUUAUGCUAUUUUACCUACGCUUAGGAUGUUGAUGUGAUACUGCGAGC